rnacentral:rRNA from 1 species
UACGUAGGGUGCAAGCGUUUGUCCGGAAUUAUUGGGCGUAAAGAGCUCGUAGGCGGUCUGUCACGUCGGCUGUGAAAUCCCGAGGCUCAACCUCGGGUCUGCAGUCGAUACGGGCAAACUAGAGUAUUGCAGGGGAGACUGGAAUUCCUGGUGUAGCGGUGAAAUGCGCAGAUAUCAGGAAGAACACCCGUGGCUAAGGCGGCUCUCUAGUACGGUACUGACGCUGAGACGCGAAAGCGUGGGGAGCAAACAGG